GGAGCUCUGCUCCUGCCCUCCCAUCCACCCCACCUCUCCUAUGUCCCUACCCCAAGGUUGGGGUCCCCAGCUCGGCUGGCAUGCAGAUGUCAAGUUAUUAUCUGAGACCCCACCGGAAGCGCCUGGUUUGAGAGCUCAAGCUUGGCGACAGCCUUCCUUAGGCAUUGCUGGAUACUGAUUGCCAAAUCGGGGGGAAACCAGUGUCUGCGUGGCAGAGGAAGAAAUUGAGCGUCAGAGGGUGAGGAAGGGGCUCCUACAGGGAGCUUCUCUGGCCACAGAGAAGCAAAGGAAGGCUAUAGCAGAAUUUGAAUUGCUGAAAAAGCUGAAGAUGAGAGGCAGGGCUAAAAAGAUCCUCAGGAAGGUCCCAGAGCCGAUGUGAGCCAGACUCCCUCGGGCACAGAGAGCAGGUAGGAGACGGGGAGGAUGAAGCGAGAGCAUUUCUGGGCGCCAGGUCGGCACAUCUGAGCAGCUGAAGACAGAGCGGAGGAGGAGGGCAGCGACUGUCUGGAAGUCCAAGGAUCCUGUUUGCUCCUGAGUGCCAGAGGGUGCAUGCCAGGGCCUGGAGCCCUACCCACCAGGAGCAGAGCACAGCCAGAAAGCCCGCAUUAAUAACUCCUUUGAAAUAAAAACAUGCUCUUCAGGGCAACAGACUGAUUCAAUCGGCAAAUAGCAGAGGGCUCUCAUUACAAUCAUAAAGAAAGGCGGGGCUGCUGACGAGUGUCAGCGUUCCAGAAAAGAAGAGGGGAGAUAAGAAAGCAGGGAGGGCAGGCCACGCUCAGACAGCCUCACACUAUGGCUUGGACCCUGGGAUGCACAUGUGGGAGGGGGCGAGAAGAUGCUAGAUUUUCUACCAGAGAUGAUCAGAGAGGUCGUAGGUUCUCCACGGAAGUUGGCCAAGAGCCUGGAGCAGCACAC